rnacentral:lncRNA from 1 species
AUGGAUCAAUCUGCGGACGGAAAUAUAGAAAGCAAACAGAAUUCUGCGAAACCGUUUUGUCAGCGCUAUUUAGUGUCUUUUCCAACCACAGUGUGUCUAGUGUUAUCGCUGAGUUCAAUAGCGGUGUGUUUUCUCGUGAGUUUCAAAACGCAUCAGAUGGAGAGCAGGCUGCGCGAGCUGGAGAUAAAGAUGACUGACAUCUGUCAAGAAUCACCCAAGGACAUCUCUGUCCCACAGGAACUGCGGGAAUCCAUUGAAACACUCUUACAGGAGAGGGUGAAUGAAGCGAUGCCGAAGUUGCGUGUGGCGAGAGACGUGACACAAGACUGCAACUGUCCUCCAGGUAUUUCAGUCUUUUUUUAUUUUGUGUCUGCCAUUCUCUUUCUCUGUCAGCAGCUGUCCAUCACCGGGAAUUAA